rnacentral:ncRNA from 26 species
AAGCGUUGAAGCAUAAUAGCGUACCGGGAUGCCUUGUUAUGCAGAGCUUUCAGUAGGGGUUGUGCAGUAACCUCAAACCGGAGUAGGCUGCAAAGCCGAAAGAAAAUGCUCAAA